UAGGAUUAGAUACCCUAUUAUUUAUAAUGUUAAUAUUUUAAUUAAAUUAGUAUUAAAUAUGUUCUUGAAAGUUAAAAAAUUUGGCGGUGCUUUAGUCUUUUCAGAGGAACCUGUUCUUUAAUUGAUAGUCCACAAUUGACUUAACUUAUUUUAAUAAGCCUGUAUAUCGUCGUAGUUGAGUAUUCUAGUAGGACUAUAAUAUUCAGUUAAAGUUAUAAUUUUGUAAAUCAGAUCAAGGUGCAGCGUAUAAAUAAGGUUGAAAUGGGUUACAAUAAGUUUACUUAUAUGGAAAAUUAUUUUGUAAUAAGGGUUUGAAGGUGGAUUUGUAAGUAAUUUAAUUUAAUUUGAUUAGAUGAUUUUAGCUCUAAAGUAUGCACAUAUUGCCCGUCGCUUUCAUUUAAAUUGGAAUAAGUCGUAACAAAGUAGAUGUACUGGAAAGUGUGUCUGGAAACAAGUUAGAGCUUGAUUAUAAAGCAUUUUAUUUACAUUAAAAAGUCUAUUGUGAAAUUCAAUUUAAUGAUGUUAUUUAAUUUAUUUUUUUUUUAUUUUUAAAAUAUUGUUAUUUUUAUUAAAGUAAAUAGAAGGAAUUUAUUUAAUUAUAGUUAAUUAGUACAGUGAUGGUUAAUUUUGAAAUUUUUAUAAGAAGUUUUAGUUUAAUGUACCUUGUGUAUCAGGGUUUAUUAAUUAGUAGUAUUUUAUUAUACGGUCUCGAAUAUAUAAGAGUUAAUUGGUUAUUAAUUUUAUUGUUAAAUAAAUAUUUAUAAUAACUAAUUAGUAAUGAAAGGUUAUUCGUUUUUUUGUAUAUCUGGUUUUUUAAGAAAUGUAUUUAAUGCAGGUUAUCAUAGUUAUUUUUUUUUUUAGAAAUUUUUAAUUUAUGGUAGACUAAUAGUUUUGGGGUUGAGCUUAAAAUUAAAAUUUUAUAAAUUAAUUAUUUUUAAUGUUAAAUAGGAUUAGAAAUUUUCUUUUUUUGUAGUUUGUUGUAAUAAGGUUUUUGUUAUUAUUAUUUUUAUUGGUUUUAUAUUUUUUAUUAAGAAAUUUGUUUUAAUAAUUUAAGUUAAUUUAUAAUGAUAGAAUUAGUAUUAUUUAUUGUUGAGAAUUUUAUUUUUGAUAGGUUGAUUAAAAGAAUUCGGCAAAUAUAUUUUUCACCUGUUUAUUAAAAACAUGGCCUUUUGAUAAUGAUUUAAGGUCUGACCUGCCCAAUGAUUAUUCAAUGGCUGCAGUAUUUUGACUGUACAAAGGUAGCGUAAUCAUUAGUUUUUUAAUUGAAAACUUGUAUGAAUGGUUUGAUGAGAAAAUUACUGUUUCUGUUUAAAUUUUAGAGAAUUUUAUUUUUGAGUUAAAAAGCUUAAAUUUUUUUAUAAGACGAGAAGACCCUAUAGAGUUUAAUAAUAAGUUUAUUUAUAAUUAUUAGGGAUGUUAUUUUUUAUAAUUGAUUAUUAUUAUUUGAUUGGGGUGAUUUUAAAAUUUAAUAAACUUUUAGUUUUUUAUAUCACAGAUUAGUGAGUUUUUGAUCCAGUUUUUCUGAUUAAAAGUUUAAAUUACCUUAGGGAUAACAGCGUAAUUUUUUUGGCGAGUUCAUAUUGAUAAAAAAGAUUGCGACCUCGAUGUUGGAUUAAAAUAAACUAUUGGCGCAGUUGCUUAUGGGUUAGGUCUGUUCGACCUUUAAAAUUUUACAUGAUCUGAGUUCAAACCGGAGA
rnacentral:rRNA from 1 species